rnacentral:rRNA from 1 species
AUUGAACGCUGGCGGCAGGCCUAACACAUGCAAGUCGAGCGAGCGGCGGACGGGUGAGUAAUGUCUGGGGAACUGCCCGAUGGAGGGGGAUAACUACUGGAAACGGUAGCUAAUACCGCAUACCAUCAGAUGUACCCAGAUGGGAUUAGCUAGUAGGUGGGGUAAAGGCGCACCUAGGCGACGAUCCCUAGCUGGUCUGAGAGGAUGACCAGCCACACUGGGACUGAGACACGGUCCAGACUCCUACGGGAGGCAGCAGUGGGGAAUAUUGCACAAUGGGCGCAAGCCUGAUGCAGCCAUGCCGCGUGUGUGAAGAAGGCCUUCGGGUUGUAAAGCACUUUCAGCGAGGAGGCGUUACUCGCAGAAGAAGCACCGGCUAACUCCGUGCCAGCAGCCGCGGUAAUAC